GUAAUAUUUAGCUAUGUUUUUUAAUAUAUCGUAACUUAUAGAUAUUUUGAAAAAUUUAAUGUGCACUUAACUGCCUGAGAAAAUAAGCUUUGAUUUGAAAGUGUAAUUGCUAACCUCACAAGGAGUUUCAAAUCAUGUACAUAUACAAC